UACGUAGGGGGCAAGCGUUGUCCGGAAUCAUUGGGCGUAAAGAGCGUGUAGGCGGCCCGAUAAGUCCGCUGUGAAAGUCCAGGGCUCAACCCUGGGAUGCCGGUGGAUACUGUCGGGCUCGAGUCCGGAAGAGGCGAGUGGAAUUCCUGGUGUAGCGGUGAAAUGCGCAGAUAUCAGGAGGAACACCGGUGGCGAAGGCGGGAUCCUGGGCCAGUACUGACGCUGAGGAGCGAAAGCGUGGGGAGCAAACAGG
rnacentral:rRNA from 1 species